rnacentral:rRNA from 1 species
AGCUCCAAUAGCGUAUAUUAAAGUUGUUGCAGUUAAAAAGCUCGUAGUUGAAAUUUUGAUUGUAGCGGUCAGUCUCACACAGUGAGUGCUAGAUGUGCUGUGAUCAUGUUUCGUUGGAACGUGUGUGGCAUUGAGUUGUCGUGCAUGGGAAGACGAUCGUUUACUGUGAAAAAAUUAGAGUGUUCAAAGCAGGCUUAUGCCGUUGAAUAUAUUAGCAUGGAAUAAUAAGAUAGGACCAGGGUACUAUUUUGUUGGUUUGUGCACCUUGGUAAUGAUUAAUAGGGACAGUUGGGGAUAUUCGUAUUGCGGUGUCAGAGGUGAAAUUCUUGGAUUUCCGCAAGACGAGCUACUGCGAAAGCAUUUAUCAAGGAUGUUUUCAUUAAUCAAGAACGAAAGUAGG